rnacentral:rRNA from 1 species
UACGUAGGGUGCAAGCGUUUGUCCGGAAUUACUGGGCGUAAAGAGCUCGUAGGUGGUUUGUCGCGUUGUCCGUGAAAACUCACAACUCAAUUGUGGGCGUGCGGGCGAUACGGGCAGACUGGAGUACUGCAGGGGAGACUGGAAUUCCUGGUGUAGCGGUGGAAUGCGCAGAUAUCAGGAGGAACACCAGUGGCGAAGGCGGUGCUCUGGGCCGGAACUGACGCUGAGGAGCGAAAGCGUGGGGAGCAAACAGG